rnacentral:rRNA from 1 species
GAGGUGUGGUUUGUUGAGCGCAGCGAGCAAUUUGUCGAGGUGAGGUUGUGCAGCUAUCCCUCAUGGCCUCGAUCGUCCCUUCGUGGCUCAUCACUGCAGUUGCCACUCAGGGAGGAGAUGAAGAAAAGAAGAAGAAUGAGAUGAAAGGAUGACCACUUUAGAAAAAGAAGAAGGAGGAGAUGUAGAAAGGAUAACUUUAAUUAGUUCUACCUAGGUAGUAGGAUAGAAAAACCUUGUUGUUUAAUUUGAUCCUCACGCAAGAACAGGAUCGUUCGAUCGAACCUAGGUACCUGCCGUUCUGCAGAGUAGAGGACGGACACUGGGACGGGUUCUUCUUCUGGGGCCUGCUGCGACAGGUCGUCCAGUCGCUUACCCGCGAGGAGUGGCGGCGGGAGCGACGCUUGAUGGGUUAGAGGAUGCGUCAGCCGGUGAUGGAGUAGGGGACGCCGGUCAGGAGGAAAGACGCAACGCUGGUCGGCUGCCUGCGACUAGGACGGCUCUUCUGGUGGGAGACCUAGGCCCACGACACUACGCGGUGUGAGGUCCGCCGGCGUCGCCACGAUCGCAACGCCGAGGGCGCGGUGGUGGCGACCGAGGCGGCGCGGGAGAGGAUGGAGUGCGAGCACGAGCGCCGGCAGUAGGUGACGUACAUGCGGCAGCGACGGCGUCGGGCGGAGAAGGAGCAGCUGCUGGGUUCUCUGGAGAAGUCGUAGAAGACGUGGCACCGGUGGCAGAAGAAGUACCGGUCGCUAUAGUCUUCGAAGGACCGGGAGGACUCUCCGCUCCUCAUCCUGACUCUUCGUCCCGUUCGAGAUGCAUUAGCUAAUCAUAUACUAAUCUGUAUUAAGUGUACGAAUAAAUACAUAUCAACUACAGCCACUUUAAACAUGACGUCAAAUAUUAAUAUACGUACUCGAGUACAACAAUG